rnacentral:rRNA from 1 species
CAGCAGCCACGGGAAUACGGAGGGUGCAAGCGUUAAUCGGAAUUACUGGGCGUAAAGCGCACGCAGGCGGUCUGUCAAGUCGGAUGUGAAAUCCCCGGGCUCAACCUGGGAACUGCAUUCGAAACUGGCAGGCUAGAGUCUUGUAGAGGGGGGUAGAAUUCCAGGUGUAGCGGUGAAAUGCGUAGAGAUCUGGAGGAAUACCGGUGGCGAAGGCGGCCCCCUGGACAAAGACUGACGCUCAGGUGCGAAAGCGUGGGGAGCAAACAGGAUUAGAUACCCCUGUAGUCCCUGUCUCUUAUAC